rnacentral:tRNA from 4 species
GAUCCGGUAGUUCAGUUGGUUAGAAUACUUGCCUGUCACGCAAGUGGUCGCGGGUUCGAGUCCCGUCCGGAUCGCAA